rnacentral:rRNA from 1 species
UGGAUUGGUGCCUUCGGGAACUGUGAGACAGGUGCUGCAUGGCUGUCGUCAGCUCGUGUUGUGAAAUGUUGGGUUAAGUCCCGCAACGAGCGCAACCCUUAUCCUUUGUUGCCAGCGAUUAGGUCGGGAACUCAAAGGAGACUGCCAGUGAUAAACUGGAGGAAGGUGGGGAUGACGUCAAGUCAUCAUGGCCCUUACGACCAGGGCUACACACGUGCUACAAUGGCGCAUACAAAGAGAAGCGACCUCGCGAGAGCAAGCGGACCUCAUAAAGUGCGUCGUAGUCCGGAUUGGAGUCUGCAACUCGACUCCAUGAAGUCGGAAUCGCUAGUAAUCGUGGAUCAGAAUGCCACGGUGAAUACGUUCCCGGGCCUUGUACACACCGCCCGUCACACCAUGGGAGUGGGUUGCAAAAGAAGUAGGUAGCUUAACCUUCGGGAGGGCGCUUACCACUUUGUGAUUCAUGACUGGGGUGAAGUCGUAACAAGGUAACCGUAGGGGAACCUGCGGUUGGAUCACCUCCUUACC